ACGAACCCUUAUAGAGAGGAUUUCCUCUCUCAGCAAACCGUAGCGCCACCACGAGGAGAAAACCCUCUCUUCUCGUCACCAUUGCCUGAAACGGAAAAAUGACAGGUGGUAUGCGCUUUUUACAGUCAUGGUUCAACCAUUUGAGGCAACAAUUAAUGCUUCAUCCCCAAAUCUCACCAAACGCUACCUUAGCAUGGUAAAAUCCUCUCCUCUCUCUUACUUUUAUGAUAUUUCAAUGGUCUUGGACUGAUUUCCUUUAAUUACCUUUGUUGUUUUGCGAAUUUAAAUCCUCAAACAUAAUUGGUUCAAUGGUAACCACGAGGAUCUAUUGAGGUUGGUGAUUAUUUGAUAUUAGACCCUAAUCUAAGCCACAUGAUGAUGUAUUGUGAGGAACAAGUCUGAAAAAUUGACUUGUCCCAUAUCGGUGAAAAUUAGGGUUUUGCUUCAAUUUGGGGGUUCUAUUUCACUUUAUUAGAGGGACCUUGCAUCUGAUAUUCACUUGCAAAAAAUCGAAUACCUAGGGUUUCUAUUAUUUUAUACCUGAGACCUUUAACUUUCGAUUAAGUCAAAGUUUUAAAGAGUUUUCUUUUCUUUUGUGUGUUGGCUGAGUUGGGAUUGAGGAGCAAAGGAUCUCCAAGUUCAUUCUCGACACUAGGCUGCGCAUCAAAGAGAGUUGCGUCUGCAACAAGCAUUGCAAUGUCGGUGAAAAAUCUCCCAUAAUCCAGAGAGAUUAGGAUUAUACUCAAACAUGACAGACAAAGUGUGAUUCCGACGUAGUCCAACAAAAAACUAAGAUUUCUUUGGAGAAAUCACAAACAGACUACAACAAUUUCGAAGACAAAUCGAUAUUCCGAAAGUUAGAAGCACUGAGGUUGACAAAGCCGAAACAUCAAAAAAGAAGAAAUCGUCGUCUAAAUUGAAGGCAUUAAAAUCCUUUUUAACUCUGAGAUGUUUUUUUUUCACAGUUGAUUGUAUGAAAUGUGUAUAAUUUAUGAUAAAUUAGUAGUCGAACUGUUUAUUUUCUUACUAAGAAGUGUGUUGUAAUUCGUGUAUGAAAUGUAUAUAAAUUUUGUAUACAUUAGUAAUAGAAAGUUUUUGAUUACUCACCUUUGUAUUAAGUGUAUGAAAACUGAUAUGUACAUUGAGACA